rnacentral:lncRNA from 1 species
ACUGACACCCCCGUCUUAGCCAGUCCAAGCUCAAAAGAGGGACCCAUGCAAAAUUUCAGCCUCCUAGGUCUGGGAUAUAAUAAAGAGGGAUAGUGCAGCUCUAUUUUUUGUCUUACAGCUGGUGUUUUAGGACUUUCAGUUUCUAAGUCGAAUCCUUCUCGGAAACUCAUAAUAAUUAUUAUGAAUUAAUCUUAAUAGUCAAGUGGAUCUUGGUGGUGUGCUCAAGUAAGAGACGGUGCUCAGUGCUCCGUACCGAAGUGCUCUAGUGGACUUAGUUCAAACAGAAAAAAGGACAAGGACGAAAGAAUAGUGUUCCAUAGAUUUCCUCUUAUAAAUGAAGAACUCAUGAAAAAAUGAAAAAAGGCCAUUCCUAGAAAGAACUAGAAGCCAACAGAGCAUUCAAGAAUUUGUAGCAUGCAGUUCCUUCAUGAGAAUUACAAGACUUCAAAAAACUAUAGCAACCCGUCACGAAAAAAGGACUCCGCUCUUCUUCGACGUCAUUUAAAUCCAAAUUGUCUUCCCUCAUAAUUCCCAGAUGUACCUAGAAGACUAUCUAACUCUCUUGCACUGAGGCCAACAACAACAACAAAAAAAAAUCUUCUUCACGUUAAGUUCAUUUCACAGUGGGGGUAUGGGGGUUCUGAGUAUUCAUAUAAUCACAUAUUAUUUCUUUAAUCCAUAAAGCCUAAAAUUAAAUUAAAAUGUCGACCCAUAAAAUCAUUUUUUUUGUUCAAAUUAAAAUGUUCCUACUUUUGUACAAAAAUAGCCUGAGAGGCAUGUAUGUAACUUUGUUAAUGUCAGGUUUUGUUUAUGUUUGCAGCGGGUAUGAUCUUUGUACCGUAAGAAAAAAGUCCUAAACCAAAAAGGGGAUAGUCUAAUGAUAUUAA